rnacentral:rRNA from 1 species
UACGUAGGUGGCAAGCGUUGUCCGGAAUCAUUGGGCGUAAAGCGCGUGUAGGCGGUCCGGUAAGUCCGCUGUGAAAGUCGGGGGCUCAACCCUCGAAUGCCGGUGGAUACUGUCGGGCUAGAGUGCGGAAGAGGCGAGUGGAAUUCCUGGGUGAUAGCGGUGAAAUGACGCAGAUAUCAGGAGGAACACCAAUUGCGAAGGCAGCUCGCUGGGACGUUACUGACGCUGAGACGCGAAAGCGUGGGGAGCAAACAGG